rnacentral:rRNA from 1 species
GGAACUAGAUGUAGGGGCCAUUCCACGGUUUCUGUGUCGCAGCUAACGCAUUAAGUUCCCCGCCUGGGGAGUACGGCCGCAAGGCUAAAACUCAAAGGAAUUGACGGGGGCCCGCACAAGCGGCGGAGCAUGCGGAUUAAUUCGAUGCAACGCGAAGAACCUUACCAAGGCUUGACAUAUACCGGAAACGUCCAGAGAUGGUCGCCCCGCAAGGUCGGUAUACAGGUGGUGCAUGGUUGUCGUCAGCUCGUGUCGUGAGAUGUUGGGUUAAGUCCCGCAACGAGCGCAACCCUCGUUCUAUGUUGCCAGCACGUUAUGGUGGGAACUCAUAGGAGACUGCCGGGGUCAACUCGGAGGAAGGUGGGGAUGACGUCAAAUCAUCAUGCCCCUUAUGUCUUGGGCUUCACGCAUGCUACAAUGGCCGAUACAAAGGGCUGCAAUACCGCGAGGUGGAGCGAAUCCCAAAAAGUCGGUCUCAGUUCGGAUUGAGGUCUGCAACUCGACCUCAUGAAGUCGGAGUCGCUAGUAAUCGCAGAUCAGCAACGCUGCGGUGAAUACGUUCCCGGGCCUUGUACACACCGCCCGUCAAGUCAUGAAAGUCGGUAACACCCGAAGCCGGUGGCCCAACCCUUGUGGAGGGAGCUUGAAAGGUGGA